rnacentral:rRNA from 2 species
AUUCUGCCAGUAGUCAUAUGCUUGUCUCAAAGAUUAAGCCAUGCAUGUCUAAGUAUAAGCAAUUAUACCGUGAAACUGCGAAUGGCUCAUUAAAUCAGUUAUCGUUUAUUUGAUAAUACCUUACUACUUGGAUAACCGUGGUAAUUCUAGAGCUAAUACAUGCUGAAAAUCCCGACUUCGGAAGGGAUGUGUUUAUUAGAUAAAAAACCAAUGCCCUUCGGGGCUCCUUGGUGAUUCAUAAUAACUUUACGGAUCGCAUAGCCUUGCGCUGGCGACGGUUCAUUCAAAUUUCUGCCCUAUCAACUUUCGAUGGUAAGGUAUUGGCUUACCAUGGUUUCAACGGGUAACGGGGAAUUAGGGUUCGAUUCCGGAGAGGGAGCCUGAGAAACGGCUACCACAUCCAAGGAAGGCAGCAGGCGCGCAAAUUACCCAAUCCCGAUUCGGGGAGGUAGUGACAAUAAAUACUGAUACAGGGCUCUUUUGGGUCUUGUAAUUGGAAUGAGUACAAUUUAAACCUCUUAACGAGGAACAAUUGGAGGGCAAGUCUGGUGCCAGCAGCCGCGGUAAUUCCAGCUCCAAUAGCGUAUAUUAAAGUUGUUGCAGUUAAAAAGCUCGUAGUUGAAACUUGGGUCUGGCUGGCGGGUCCGCCUCACCGCGUGCACUCGUCCGGCCGGGCCUUCCUUCUGAAGAACCUCAUGCCCUUUACUGGGCGUGUUGGGGAAUCAGGACUUUUACUUUGAAAAAAUUAGAGUGUUCAAAGCAGGCCUUUGCUCGAAUACGUUAGCAUGGAAUAAUAAAAUAGGGCGUGCGUUUCUAUUUUGUUGGUUUCUAGAGACGCCGCAAUGAUUAACAGGAACAGUCGGGGGCAUCAGUAUUCAGUUGUCAGAGGUGAAAUUCUUGGAUUUACUGAAGACUAACUACUGCGAAAGCAUUUGCCAAGGAUGUUUUCAUUAAUCAGUGAACGAAAGUUAGGGGAUCGAAGACGAUCAGAUACCGUCGUAGUCUUAACCGUAAACUAUGCCGACUAGGGAUCGGGCGAUGUUCUUUUUCUGACUCGCUCGGCACCUUACGAGAAAUCAAAGUUUUUGGGUUCUGGGGGAUUAUGGUCGCAAGGCUGAAACUUAAAGAAAUUGACGGAAGGUCACCACCAGGCGUGGAGCCUGCGGCUUAAUUUGACUCAACACGGGGAAACUCACCAGGUUCAGAUGAAAUAAGGAUUGACAGAUUGAGAGCUCUUUCUUGAUUUUUCAGGUGGUGGUGCAUGGCCGUUCUUAGUUCGUGGGGUGACUUGUCUGCUUAAUUGCGAUAACGAGCGAGACCUUACUCUGCUAAAUAGCCAGGCUAGCUUUGGCUGGUCGCCGGCUUCUUAGAGAGAC